GUCAGGAUGGCCGAUCGGUCUAAGGCGCUGAGUUUAGACUUCUGUGGGUGGGUUCGAUUCCCACUUCUGACA